AUUGGUAGUUAAAAAAAUCCGAUAAAAAUGAACGGUUCAACAUUGAUAGUAAAAAACAAUCCGAUAAACAUGUUGAAUCUUAAAGAUAUGAAACUCUGAAGCCUUACAUUAUAGGACUAUCGUUUAUUAGUUCUUUAUCCUAACUAAAUGUUUUUUUUUGUGGUGUAUAUUAAAAAAAAGGGGGAGGGGCUUUUAAAACACCAAAAUACCUUACAAAUUUCAGGAUUCGACACUAACGCAUCCUACAAUAUUUGUUUACAGAAUGAGAAUUGAAUUCCGAUCCGUUUGUACGGGGAACAUGUGGUUGCAACCCCCUCUUUAAUUGCCUGUUCGAUUUUUUUUUUUUUUGCAGUGUCGAAAAGGGAGAUAGACAGCAGUUUGUUUUAUCAAGAAGUUAUGUACGUUCUGCUAUACAUUUGACAGUCAGUAAUUAUUCUGAAGUACACAUGUCGACCAGAGGCAUGGAACAGAGAGUAGAGGUUUUAAAGUACCAGAUGCUUAUCUGAGAUUCCAAUUUGAACUAAAGAAAGCAAUAUAUAAAGAUAUGUAGGAGAAAUAAUCUAUAUGAAUAAAGUUAUGUCACAAAAGGAACUUGUUUUUUUUAUAUACAGAAUUUGUCAAACGUCUCCAUAACAGAAGAGAUGUGAAUGCAUCCUUCAUAGUCUUGUAAUACUAAUGGUAAUAAUUUAUAUAAUUUCUGAGAUGAUAUAGCAGUGCUAUUGGUUUCCCCUUUCUCCUUCUUCAAAGAACUUGAUCAUCUGAACUCUUUCUUUUUUUUUUAAAUUGGAGCCCUGUUCAAGAACAGUUAAAAGAGCAUAUGCUUAAUUUUCGUUAUCUUUUUUUUUUUUUUU
rnacentral:lncRNA from 1 species